GUGUGUUUUGGCUCGAAAUCAAACAGAAGCUUAGUCUGGAAGGAAGGGCGUAGAGAGAGAGAAGACCUAAUCCUAAUUGAAGACCGUGAUCGCCUUGUGUCAUUGUUACCUGAUCAUCUAUUGUAUCCCAAAUCCUGGUUUGAUUAAUCGUUCAUGGUUCUGAUUUCUGUGUUGUCCUUGUUUCAUUUAAAUUUCAUUGUUUGGCGCCAGGGAAUUCAUGCCUUGGAACUGAAAUUGGGGAACAUCUAAUUCGUAUUGUGGACUGAUAUUGUCUUCAAUUUCAGUUAUAGGGUCCAGCAAUGGAAGGAGAAGGAUUGGAUCUUAGGAAAUGUUCUCCUGAGGAGUUAAAAGAUUUAACCGAUAAUUUUAGCGAAACAAACCUGAUUGGGGAAACCCAAUUUGGCAGAGUGUUCUGAGGAAAGACUCAGCAAGGUCAGGAUGUGACGGUGAAGAUCUGGGAAGAGGGAGGAUUACUUUUUGUUGGCAAGAAUGAAAAUCGUUCCCAAUUGAUGGCAGAAUGUACUUUUCUAAAAGAGCCGAGUGUCAACCAUCAUCCAAACUUGGCCAAGUUGAUGGGAUACUGCUGUGAAGAUAGUCUUUUGUGUGUUGUUUAUGAUCUUAAUCCUUUGGAUACAUUGCGUAAUCUCAUAGUUAAAGGUAUUAAAACAUUUUUCACUUUGAUUCUUUUGUUACACCUAGAUUUUAUCUUAUCAUGUAUCACUUUGUUGUGCAUAUAGAUCAAAAUUUUCAGUUUAUGUUUGGAGAGUUUUUGUGGGGGCGAAACAAUACUUGCAGAAUAAUAACCAUGAUCGCAAUACGAACUUAUUCUGUUGUUCAUCAUAUCGUGAUCUAAGAUGACAUUUAUAGCUUUGCCUUGCAGUCAAUAUCCGAUUAAUUCUUAAGCUGGGUCUUAAGCUGAUCCGAUUAGGAGUUAAUUUGUUUAGUUUUGCACCUUAUUGGAUAUAUUCAAUUAAUUGCUGCAACCAGUACACGGUGUGGUGGUUAUUUGCUGCAGGCAGCAGGUAUGUUAAUGUAAUUAAGAAAGUUUCUUCGUUUCUGUUAUUUACCAACACUUUUUUUUUUUUGGGUGUAGAUAGUUUUUCCUGGCUCCAAAGAAUCAAGGUGGCAAUUGGAUUUGCACGUUUGCUUGAGCUUUUGCAUGGUCAAUCACCGGAAUACAUUGUUCGCAUAUUGAUGCUGCACAUAUAAUGCUUGAUCAGGGUUACAAUCCAAUAGUAUUUGACUUUGGUAUGCUUACUGGUGGAGUUCUUGGUGAUAAGAGUAGCGCCCCGAACAGGUUAUUGCUUGGAUCUUUUGGUUAUAUUGAUCCGAGGAUUCCUGCUUCUGGUUAUUAGAGGUUCCAGUCUCGAGGUUGAGGAUCCACAGCUGGGAGACUGUCAUUCAUCUAUUCAUCUUGUGUACUUUUAAGUAGUAUUGGAUUAUUGAAUAAUGUUUUAAGGGGUCCUUGAGUUACUGGAUUUCCGAAUUGUAAUUGUUGGAGAAUUAUCAAUUAAUAUUUAUUUAUUAGUUUCUUCAGCGGUUUAUUUAUUCUUUAUCAUUCA